UACGUAGGGGGCAAGCGUUGUCCGGAAUUAUUGGGCGUAAAGAGCGCGUAGGCGGUCUGAUAAGUCGGUUGUGAAAGUCGGGGGCUCAACCCUCGGAUGCCGAUCGAUACUGUCAGGCUAGAGUCCGGAAGAGGCGAGUGGAAUUCCUGGUGUAGCGGUGAAAUGCGCAGAUAUCAGGAGGAACACCAAUGGCGAAGGCAGCUCGCUGGGACGGUACUGACGCUGGAGGCGCGAAAGCGUGGGGAGCGAACAGG
rnacentral:rRNA from 1 species